UGACAGUCGAGCGGACAGAUGGGAGCUUGCUCCCUGAUGUUAGCGGCGGACGGGUGAGUAACACGUGGGUAACCUGCCUGUAAGACUGGGAUAACUCCGGGAAACCGGGGCUAAUACCGGAUGCUUGUUUGAACCGCAUGGUUCAAACAUAAAAGGUGGCUUCGGCUACCACUUACAGAUGGACCCGCGGCGCAUUAGCUAGUUGGUGAGGUAAUGGCUCACCAAGGCAACGAUGCGUAGCCGACCUGAGAGGGUGAUCGGCCACACUGGGACUGAGACACGGCCCAGACUCCUACGGGAGGCAGCAGUAGGGAAUCUUCCGCAAUGGACGAAAGUCUGACGGAGCAACGCCGCGUGAGUGAUGAAGGUUUUCGGAUCGUAAAGCUCUGUUGUUAGGGAAGAACAAGUACCGUUCGAAUAGGGCGGUACCUUGACGGUACCUAACCAGAAAGCCAC
rnacentral:rRNA from 1 species